rnacentral:lncRNA from 1 species
GACCAAAACAUUCUAUACUGCCAACAGCUGGAGGGAAUGUAGUCCCGACUUGUUGACGUGUUGCUAGGAUACCGGAGUCUUGACUGAUUGGAUGUUUAUCCAUGUACGUACAUCAUGAAAAUUGUUUUUUUUUAAUGAUGUCUGGCUGGUAAAUUAACAGUUAUGGUAAAAUAGGUCAAUUUGGGCUGUAAAUUGUGUCUGGAUAGCUCUCAACAAAAAGGUACUUGCUGUAGAUGUAACAGUGGACGUUAAUGGCUGCAGCCGGACUCUACAAAUUCGAUGUGGGAGACAGUUACCCCGUCAAUUGUUUUCCCAUCCGACCAUUGUUUCAUCAACGAAAAAACGGGGCUGGUCACUGGCUGGUUGCUCACAGAAAUGCAGUGGAACAUAAAUACAAAUAUACACGAACUAAGAAAUCAGAGGGAAACAGUUUUGCCUCAAACUCAAUUGUGUCUGAGUGCACACGGGUUGAAGAGUGUGCGACAUCAGAUAUUCCUGGCUAUACAUUGGAUGCUCCUCUCCUGUUGUCAUUGCAUUGUGUGGACAAGCCAUCUGACCUGUGCUCUGUUGACAUCAGUGAUCAGAGAUUGAAUUUGGUAAGAUUUGCUCUUUGA